rnacentral:rRNA from 1 species
AGCAGCCGCGGUAAUUCCAGCUCCAAUAGCGUAUAUUAAAGUUGUUGCAGUUAAAAAGCUCGUAGUUGAAUUUCGGGGUUAGUAGGUUGGUCAUGCCUCUGGUAUGUACUGGUCUCACUGAUUCCUCCUUCCUGAUGAGCCGUAAUGCCAUUAAUUUGGUGUUGCGGGGAAUCUGGACUGUUACUUUGAAAAAAUUAGAGUGUUUAAAGCAGGCUAACGCUUGAAUACAUUAGCAUGGAAUAAUGAAAUAGGACGUUCGAUCCUAUUUUGUUGGUUUCUAGGAUGACGUAAUGAUUAAUAGGGAUAGUUGGGGGCAUUA